GGAAACCGGAGCUAAUACCGGAUAAUAUAUUGAACCGCAUGGUUCAAUAGUGAAAGACGGUUUUGCUGUCACUUAUAGAUGGAUCCGCGUCGCAUUAGCUAGUUGGUAAGGUAACGGCUUACCAAGGCAACGAUGCGUAGCCGACCUGAGAGGGUGAUCGGCCACACUGGAACUGAGACACGGUCCAG
rnacentral:rRNA from 1 species